UGGGGUAUAGCUCAGUGGCAGAGCAUUUGACUGCAGAUUAAGAGGUCCUCGAUUCAAAUUCGGGUGCCCUUU
rnacentral:tRNA from 1 species